UCAGGCGCGGCGGCGGCGUCAUCUCCCCUAGGCGCACUUUGGCCCUCGCCACCCUACUGGACUCCCGUUCCCCUCCCGCUGUGACGGCCCAUCGACUUGGACGAAUCGAUACCGGCGUUCUGGAAAACGUUCUGGCUCGAAUGCAUCGCAGUUUAUAUUCUCCAUCGUUUGGGUCCAAAUGCGCGGAAUAAUUCGGUACAACGACUCCGACUCCUCGCCUUGCCUCGCCUCGUCUUUUGCGGAAGAAAACAAUCCCCGUUAUUAGACGACCGGCGAAUAACACGCGACUGCAAUAAGCGAAAUCGCCGACUCAAAAGAGAGGUGUCCGGCAGCAGCAGCAGCAGCAAACAACGACGGUUUCAGAGAAAACGAAUGACUGCGGCGAGCUCGUCCGAGUCCUACUUAAAGAAAUGGAUACGGUAAUCGCGAGACCGCGUCGGCGACCAGGAAUACGAGCCGAUUCGACGCGUUAAAUGUUCCUCUAGAGAAUCCACGGCGGAGAGGUUCUCUCUUUCUCUUUUUGCGAAUCUGGGAUGGCUAUUGAAAGCGGCAAGAUUGGGCAACAGCGGCAUCAGAAGCGAUAUCGGAUCAAACUCAGUUAACAAGCUCGUGCUCGUCGUCAUAUCGGUUGUCGUUCGAGUAGAUAGAUUUUAAAUCGAGUCAACCGCGCGCGGGAACAACAACGGCAACGAAGUUAGCGCGGCAAAAUAAUCCGAGAGUCUAUUGGAUCGCGCGUAUCUCGUGUAUAUAAUGGAAACACACGAGCCGCCGAAGGGACGAUAGUGGACCCGGGAAAGGUCGAUGGUUGUGGGAGAAGAAAUUGGAUCUUGCCUCGCACGUCGCCUAAUCAUCGCUCACGAAGUUAUCCAGGAAACACACACUUCACGUUCAAGCGAAGUACAAAGAUGUAGAUAAAUACAGGUGUAGUUACACAGGAGAUACCCUUGCGCUCAUCUCCCCCUCUUUCUCGUUCGAAAAGUUUCCGCGUGUAUAUCCGCGAAGAAAACGAAAAUUAGCGACGACACCGUCACGGGUUGACGCGAAAUACAACUGCUCGCCGUUGGAAAGAAACGCGCUGGAUGCCGCAAUCAAAGGACAGGCUCGACAGACAGUCGGCGAUUUCAGGAAUGUGACAGGCGACCGUUCUCGCUUCGCGAGAAGGUAUCAUUAUCCUUGGAUAGGAAACGUAGAACAACAGGAAGCGGAAAAUAAAUAACAGACCCAGCGGGAAUAAGACUUGUGUUCCAAAUAAGUGUCCUUACGGCUCCAGGUUUCCUUCUUUUCGCCGUUGUUGUGUCGUCGUCGUCGUUUCGCGUUGUGAAGCGACCCUGUUAUGGAAUGAACCGAUGCCCGAACGGGGCGUUUAAGUGUCCGCGAUCAUCCAUCCCAACACAACAACCUGGUCGAGCAUCAUGACCCCGAUGAUACGGCUGCUCCUUCUGCCCGCUCUGCUGGCCGUACAGUCGUGCACGAUUGUCUGCUCGGCGAGCGGCGAUGGCGGGCCUAACAGCGCGAUCUUCAAAGUGGACCACACGGCCUUGGAGAAAAAUCUGGCGGCAAUCUUCAACAAAGUAGCGCACAGCUCCGCGACCACGAAACGCAGUGUGCCGGCGUACGACGCCCAG